GGGAAAGAGGAGAAAGAAGCAGAAGAGUUGGGUGGCACACAGUUCCAAAGGAUAUCAUGAAGUUUCCAGGAUCUUUGGAAAACCAGAUUGGCUUUCCUAUUGGAAAAGACAAUCUCUAAGGCAGCCCACAUGUAGAAGUGAAUGUGUGAAAAAUUUCUACAAAUAAAUUGAAAUAUUUCUCAUACAGAGAGAUGAGGUAAUUUAGUGGCUGGCCAAACCAAAUUACAAGUUAAACCUUUAUCCAAAAACAUUUGCUUUUGUUAGGAUCAUUUUGGGCAGGCUUUUAGCUACUACAAAGGCCCACCCAAAAUAUUUGAGAUGUAUGACCAUCAUAUUUUUUCCCUAGCUGCAAAGACUGUUGAAGAGGAUGAAAGAAUUUCAAUACUGAAGGCAUUGGCAAGAGACAGUUUCUGUGGAUCUGUUGAACUG
rnacentral:lncRNA from 1 species